AAACAUUUUUUUAAUUUAAAUACUAAACUCAAUUUUCCAAGCCAGUUCCUAUUGACUCAUGAGUUGAAAGGCUUUAUCAACUUUCAGAGCACAAAUUUCUCACAAUUUUUUAAAAAGAGAUUGAGUGAGCAGUGGUUGUGAGAGAAAGAUCAAGUACAUACUUACCAAUAUCUUUGAGUCCAACCAUCGGCACUGAUCAUCCACCCAUAGUACGAGUACAGUGGUCGGUUUGCAAUGAGUAGCCAGAGACUGAGCUACACUCAACUCGUCGACUAGUCUCGUGCUUGGAACAUCGUGAAUGAGGAGCGCUUAUACACAUACGCGUACGUACAUAUAAUUUACGCUCAAAAACAACGAAAUGUACGAAAAUUAUACACUUAAGCGGAGUGUGGAAAAAAGCGGGGUAGCAAAAUGGUGAAGGAAAAAAGAUCGAUUGUUUGUAUGCCACGCUGUACCCGCUUACCGUAGGUACAUACGGUAUGUACGUCCGUAAAAUUAUUACACUAUGUCGUUUGAAUGUAUUGCCCUCGUCGGUCUCUUGAUUGUUUUCCACUUUUUUUCAUUUUGUGUUUAAAAAUCUACGGGCUCGGGUUGCCAACGGACACUUUGUGACUACACAAAUUCAAGACUAGAGUUUAGUCUUAUAAGAGUGAUGUUGGUGUGUAGAUCGCGUUUUGUAGCGAGUGCGUCUUGUAUUAGUUUUACACAAAUUCGACGCUUACUAAAUAUAAAUGUAAAAUAAUAAUGACAUAAAAAAAGACUAUUUGUAAGAAAAAGUAAUGACGCAUUGAUAGAUAUGAAGAAUUUUCCUUAAAUUUCACUGUAACUUUGAGCCAAAGUAUGUGUUAUUGAAAGGAGGAGAACUUAGUGAAGCGCUGUGAAAAAAACAGCAACAGUAUGCACGUCAACAGCGAACACGAAAUAAUGAAAAAACAAUUAAAUAAAAAAAACUGUUGUACAAAAACACAACAACAGCAACAAAUGUAAAAGGCAAAAUACCCGUAGAUUUGAGUGUACAGAAAUUUACCGCCUUUUAUGAGUGUAUUUGUAAGCGAAGCGCUAACCAAUACAUGCACAACAUAAAUUGAGCGCCGCUACCACUACUAACGCAAUUCACGCCAUCAUGGAAUCUCAACAGGUCCAAUAUAUGCACAAUCAGAAAAAUGUCAGCCGCUGUCGAAGUAGAGAACAGAUCUGUAAAGACAGUUCAAAAGCACGCGGAUGGAUUGGAGACUGUCUCCAAAAAACGCACAAAUACAGGCGCAGUGGACUGAACUACCUAUAUACUAUCUAUAUACGCACUAACAUGUAUACACAUGUGGAUAUGUAAUGCGUGCGAUACAUAAAAUUGAAAUACUCCGGUUAGGCAUCUGCCAUUUGCUGAUAUUUUCUGGCCUGCGCUACAAUCCUUCGAAAAUGCAUUCUUAAGAUUUCGAAAAGUAAUUGGAAAGGCGCAGAUUUCGUAUAGAAUUCAUUGAUGAAUGCCUGGAAUUAAGAACAUAAGAACAUAAGAAAUGCAUUUGCCGCGUAUGCAUGCGAAAUGCGAGCAUUUUGAAACUUCAUUGGAGAGUUUUUCUCCUCUCAUGUCUCUCAUGUGCUUUUGGCAAGUAACAAAUAUUAUUUUGUGAUUUUACAUUUGAAUGCGGCACUAGCUGAAAUGCCAUUGACAGCCAGCCGGCAUAUUCAAAAAGUAUUUGCGCCUACAAUGUGAGCACAUGUACAAAAGCCUGUAUUUGUUCCCCACUCAGCAAUAAUCAACACAACGUCUUUGGCAACGUUGUCCACAUCGUCAUUAUCAUCAUCAGAGCAUUCUAUAUGGGCACCACCACUACCAUCACACUCUACUCCACUUCACGGUGCGGCGUCAGCAGUAAAUCCACAAUCUUUUUUCACACUGCCGGGUGACCGCAACAACCGAUCGUCACGAAUAGCAACAAAACAAUAGCAAAAACACGAACGCCUCUAUUUUGUGCUAGCUGGUAACCCUAUAUAUACAUUUUGUAUAUAU